CUCCAGGAGAGGCCGGGCGGCAGUGUGCAGCGCCGGGCGCCGAAGGGGCAGAAACUCUCAGGCAAAAGGACUGGG
rnacentral:ncRNA from 1 species